CCUGGUGCCCAUGCUCAGAAUGGCGUUGCUGAGCGUAAGCAUCGCCAUAUUGUUGAGACAACUCGUACCCUUCUGAUUUCUUCCUUUGUCCCCACUCAUUUUUGGGGUGAAGCUAUCUCAACUGCUGUUUAUCUUAUCAAUCUUCAACCUUCUACUCGUCUUGAGGGCAAGUGUCCUAGUGAGGUUUUGUUUGGUUCUCCUCCCACGUAUGACCACCUCCGUGUCUUUGGUUGUACUUGUUAUGUUCUUUUAGCACCUCGUGAGCGUACCAAGUUGACUGCUCAGUCUGCUCAGUGUGUC
rnacentral:rRNA from 1 species